CACUCUUAAAAAACCCAAUAUCCACCUGUGCACUUUCUGUAGGCAUGUUUGCCUAUGCAUUUUUUACACACACCAUGUUAUAUUUGAAUGCCUUUGAUUAACCAAUUGUAAAACAACUUUCAACAAUGGAUCUCUUGGUUCUCGCAUCGAUGAAGAACGCAGCGAAUUGCGAUAUGUAAUGUGAAUUGCAGAAUUCAGUGAAUCAUCGAAUCUUUGAACGCACAUUGCACCCUCUGGUAUUCCAGAGGGUAUGCCUGUUUGAGUGUCAUUAAUAUCUCAACACAGUCAAGUUAUUUGACUUGCACUGAUGCUUGGAUGCUGAAGGUUGCUGGCAAUAUUUGUCAGCUCCUUUUAAAUGUAUUAGCAGAAACCGAUGCAAAAAGCUGGCUUCAGUUUGAUAAGCACUUAUCUGUAUUGCUGUUGCUAGUGAAAUGCCCUUGUUUCAGCUUCCAAUUGUCCAAGCCCUUGGACUGCCUCUCGGGGUAAUUCAAUCUUGACACUUGACCUCAAAUCAGGUAGGACUACCCGCUGAACUUAAGCAUAUCAAUAAGCGGAGGAAAAGAAACUAACAAGGAUUCCCCCAGUAACUGCGAGUGAAGAGGGAAGAGCUCAAAUUUAAAAUCUGGCAGUCUCUGGCUGUCCGAGUUGUAAAUUAGAGAAGUGUUAUCCGCGCUGGACUGUGCAUAAGUUCCUUGG
rnacentral:rRNA from 1 species